rnacentral:misc_RNA from 1 species
GCUGCUCACUGUUAUAAGAAAACAUCUACAAAUGAGGCAAUAUCCUGCUUAGGUCAAGCUGUAGAUUUGUUUUGUGAUAUAGGAAGAAUCAGUAUGGCUGCAAGAUAUUAUAAGGAAAUUGGUGAAUUAUAUGAAUCAGAAGCAAAUUUUGAGAAAGCUAUCGACUUCUAUGAAAAGGCAGCUGAUUUCUUCCAAGGUGAAGAAGUAACAACUUCUGC